UUAUGGAAGAAGAAAAGGGCAGUUUCACAUUUUUCACUCUACAGUCAACCAUCUUCUACUACUACUUCUUUUUCUUUUUCUUCUGCAGUAGUAUUUUUCCAUAAUUGCUGGGGGGAAAUGAUGUGGUGUUGUAUAU
rnacentral:ribozyme from 1 species